UUCAAUUCCAUUUAAAUAACAGGGAAGAGAGGAACAGAAAAGAAGUCAGAUGAAAAAGUUCAUAUUGGAAGUUUCUCAGAAAUAAGGGAAUGAGUGAGUCAUGAGCGCUGAUGUGGCUCAUGUAACUAAUUGUUUUAAUCACUGAGGACAGCAAAAUAUCUUAGAGCUGCAAAGAAGUUUCCAUGUUUCUGGAAAAAUGAAAUAUAAAAGCGGUGGAGAGAAGAAAAAACUUUGAGGGAAAGAGAUUCUUAAGAGUUGUCUUCUACACAAAGAGUUGAAGCCCUAAAGCCAUCUAAAGAAAUUCAAUGCAUAUUAUGAAUCAACUGCCAAAAUUUUAAUGGUCUGGCAUAUAGUAGCAAAUGUUUACUUUAUUGAUAGCAACUAAUGAAAAAAAAAAAACAAACCAAAAUACUUAUUCUAUCCUGUCCUUCCCUGCCUAAUAAUAUUAUCAACAGAAAGUGAACUUAAAGCUACUGAAACAAUUAGGUGAAGAAUCUCUGAAAGAAGAUGGUUUGCUCAUUUUACAUGGAAGACUCCAUCCAAGAUUUGGAUCGUCGUUUUCCUUGUGACAAGAUCCCUAUAAAAUUUCUGGGUAAAAAAAUACUGCUUUCUUUGAACCUGCCUCUUGACAUCAUUUCUGGAUGGAUAGCUGCUUGAUCUUCUUUCUGGUUUCUGAAGCUCAUGCAGAAAGAAAAUAUAUGAUGAAAUAGAAAAAAGAAACAUGACAAAAAUGGAGACGGCUACAGUUCUUUUUGAACUGAUCAAGAGUGGGUCCCUUUCCACAGCGUGCAGUCCUUCAGGCACACCCUUCUCCAACAUGGAUUCCUGACAGGUCACAAGUCCUGCAAGAAAAUCUCCUAUUCCAUGGACUGCAGAGAGACAGCUGCUUCACUAUGGUCUUCACCACAGGCUGCAGGAGAAUCUCAGCUUCAGCACCUGGAGCAGCUCCUCUCCCUCCUUCUUCAAUGAUCUUUGGUGUCUACACAGUUGAUCCUCUCACAUACUUUCACCCUGCUCCUCUCUGGCCAUAACUACAUCUGCACAAUAACUACUUUUUCUCUCUAAAUAUGUUAUUGCAGAGGAGACAUCAUGAUUUCUGAUUGGCAUGACCUUAUCCAGUGGCACAUUCAUCUUGGAGGCAGUUGGCAUUGACUUUGCUGGACUUGGAGGAAGCUUCCCUCAGAAGCAACCCCUGUAGGUCCCCUGCUACUAAAACUUGGCUAAGCAAACCCAAUUUUUCUAAUUUGAAAAAAUUAAAAAUUUUUAAAUACUUCCAUUUUAAAUGCUGAAGAUUCCCAAGAAUAAUUAAGGAGACUUUCUAAAGAAUUUAGCUUAUAGGGUUUUAGUUUGAAUUGUGCUGAUGAAGAUUAACAUGGUGCUUUGGUUAUUUGCAGAUAAAAGACUGGUAAGAUCACUUUAAAUACAAUAAGAAAACAUUACAAGAUUAAGCUUAUAUAUGACCCUUUUUUCUCCUAUAAUUAAAUUUCCCAAGGUAGAAACUUUUGUCACAUUCCGCUGUCUAAAGGAUGUUGUCCUCAGAUGUCUGGUCUCUGGGGAAUUUGGAAGAUGAGGGUUAAGUUCUGAUCAUGGCCCUUAAGAGGUCUUUAUCUGCCCUACUGUCAUUGGUCAUGUGACGAAAUAGCUCUGAAAUUCUGAGGCUGAAUUUGUUGAAAACCAUAUUGUUCUCUAGGUCAGUUCACUGCUGCUCUAGAACAAAAUACAGCACCAAAUAGUUGCCACUGUAUUGGACAAAACCUGAGCUACCGAAGGCAAAUAAAACAACUACAGUAGUUAUAAAAAAUUCUCUUUGAGAACUUUGAACUCAUGUCUUAUGCUUCUCUGGGUAUUGUUUUUAUUUUAUUUUUUUAUCUUAAACAUGGUGAAAGCAAACAGUAGAACACAUGUUCUGUGAGGUCCCAUUAAGUUCAGAAAAUGAUUUUGCUGUCAGAAUAUUGGCAUCCUUUUUAAUUGACUCAGAAAAAACAUAAGCAGUCCAGAUUUAUUGGCCUGAAUCUUGAUUAAUUAUUUCACACAUUAUUUUUCAACAGCAUGGUCAUCUUUAAAACUAAUAAUUUGUUAAUUUCUUCUGUAUCAACUGGUUUAUAUAAUUACCAUUCACCAAAAAAUUCCAAAAAUAAAGUGAUAGACCAAAACCUGUUUUUCUACUGAUGUUGAUAAGAGCUUACCUGAACUGCCUCUACUUUGGUUUUCUAACAGAAAUGAUUUUGCUUUUGUAACCUGAUGAUUCCUUAUGCAUAUGGCAGAUUAAUCUUAGAGAUAUUGUUUGGUGAGAUAGUCUGUUCAAGGCCAUUAGCUUUUCUCACAUAUUUCUUUGCCAAAAAACUUGCUAGUGAGGGAACAUUUAAUUUCUGAUUUCCAAAAAGAGAACUGAUUUUCAAAUUUACAAAGCCAUUGGGUUUUCUUAUGAUUAAAUGGCAAGCAAGAUGAAUUAUUAUUCCUCCUCGGAUGGCGCUUCCAUUUCAAUAAAGUUUUUAUUUUUUAGUCUCAUAUUAGUUAAACCAUAAGGUUUUAAAGAUAGAUGUUUUACUUUAAGAUUGGGUAUUAACAAGCUUCAGCUGUUGAAAUAAGUUCACUGAGGAGAAAAUACAUUCCUAAAACCUUUCUGGUUACUUGCAAAUAUGUCUUCUUUCAUAUUAAAACAUCAAUCAAGUAUUUGUCUUUACCUCCUUGAAUACUCAACAGAAGGCUAUGUAGCUUCCUUUUACUUCAAUACAAAGUAUGCUACUCCUCCAAAAUAUUUGUAUGCCACUGUUUCAUUGUGGAUUUCAGAGAACGCUUUUUUCAAUGACAGAAUGACUAAGCAAAUUAAAAUGUCUCUUUCUUUGAGACUCUAUGAAUCAUAAAAUAUAUGAAAUUAAAGUAUUGGAAGCCAUUUUGUGCACUUUUUUUUUUCCUUACAGCAUUCCAUCCUACUGGUAUGACUAUUACAUUUAAUUUGUAUCACAUAUUAAUGCCAAAUAAUUUUCAGGACUGAUUGCUGCUUUCUGAAGCUUCCUUGCCAUCCUAUAUACAGCAUUGAAAUUACAUUGUUGCUAACUUUGGCUAGGGAAUAGUUUAUUCCAGAUUUAUGCCAGGAAUUAAAUAAACUAACAAAAAACAAACAAACAGGUACAUGAAUGUUGCCAUAUUAUAUUCAUUCUGCAAAAUAUUGAAAAUGCUGUUCCUCUUCAGGUCUUUUUGUCAAGAGGUGACAAAGAUAGAUCAACCAGUGCCACAGAUCAGAUCACUGAGAAAGCUGGGCAGAUAACUAAUAUCUGGUAAUAAUCUGAUACUCUGAUUCCAAGACUAACAAUGUCUCUUUGACAGCGUCAUUGUUAUUAGUACUAAGUAGUAUCAGUAUUGCUGUUCUGUUUUUAUGGCUUAAUCAACAUCAUCUGGGAUCAGUGGUAUGAACCACCAUACACGGGGAAUUCAAAAAGUUACAACUCUCCUCUAGGAAAUACCAACUAGAGAAAGAGAUGAGCAGUGGAAGGAUGCAGAGUGAGACAACAAGAUAUUGUCAUUCACUGUAGGGAAAAGGCUGAGGCAAAAAUUACAGAAAACUGGGAAGUUAUAACAUUACAGAAAGAAUAGGGGGGAAAUACAGUUGCUGUUCUUUGGACAGAAUGUGUUCAAUGUGCCCAACUUCCCACACACAAUAUAUGAGAAGGGUGAGAUGAAACUGGCAGUGGAGCAGAGUAGAGAAAUGUUGACCAAGCUCAGCUGAAAUCCUUGCGGAAGAGGGAACUCAGUGAUACUUUAGCUGACAAGCCACACAUUCGCUGCUGACCAAGGGAGAGAGAAAGAGAUGUCUUAUUCUUGAACCAGAAACCAGGGUCAAAUCUCUCUCAUCAUAUAUAAUACUGAUGCUCAUCUCCAUUCCAAGGUUACCUCAGAUGUAAUACUGAUCCUCACCUCCAUCCCAAACCUACCUUUCUCCAGGGUAUGAGCACCCCUCUCUGAGCAUGAUGCAUGCCUAGAGUCACUAAAGUUUCACCUAGACACCAAGAAUAUGGUAAAAGUUAACAACUGAGAUAAGUUAGGGAAGACUCUGCAACUGCCAGGAUCAGCUGACAAGCUGAACUUGUCUUCUCCCUCAUGGAGAUGGCUAUUGGGUAAGAAUGAUACUCCAUGCACACUGAAUAAUUAUCUCUAGCUAACUGACUUUUUCAGGGAUUAGAGCUUAUCCAUAUAUUGCUUUGAAUAAGUUUUUACAGUCAAAUACUAUUACCAGCAACCUUUGGACCUUAACCUGUCAGAAUUUUCUCUUAUAUUAAUAAUAUUGUUCUGUAAAUUGUUCGUAUGAGUCCUUGAAAGAUGCUGGCAGUCCGUGGCAGUGGGUAAAACUCUCAACUGCAUAGACCUGGGAAGGGGUCUCUCUUAUGCUGUUGGUGUGUGUCCUUGAACAAGUUACUUGAACUGCCCUCCAUUUCAGUGGACUGCUCAGUGGAGAGACCCCAUAAUGGGAUACUGACAAAAUGGUUGGGCGCAAGGAUCUUGGCUCUCCUGAGGUCCACUCCCAACACAUAAAUCAAGCACAAAGGGUUUGAGGAAAUCUUCUCUUUCAUGUGACAUUCAGCAUGACUUCCCCAUACCAUCAGUCUUAUCUAUGUUGUAGGUGAGGCCAGACUUCCAGACUGCCAGUCAGCCACAACCUUGGUCUGUUUUUGCUUUACCUCUUCAUGAAUGCAAAAUUAACCAGAAGGCAAUAUAAAUAUUUUCAGCUUCUGUAGCUGUGCUUUUUGUAGUACACAAAGCCCAAACUAAAGUAAGACAGCUCUUAAUACAGAUGACGCUAAUUGGCUAAUUUAGACUGAUUAGAAUGAUUGUCAUUGAUGGAUGCCUCAUGGGUUUCUAUCUUGCUUUUAGUUGUAAUCAAUUGGAUUUUCAUCCGUAUUCACUACAGGUGUUAAAUUUGAAGACCUUACCCUUUCUGACUUCCCUGCAUAUAUCUACCUCUUCCCAGAAAGACAAGGAGUAUAGAUUAUUAGAUACCUCUGUUUAUUUCCAAGGAACAGCAGCUUCUGAAUAUUUAAAUAACUCCACAUUUUGUAGUAGCUAUUUGAAUUAAAAUCCCUUCAUGGGGGUGCUUUGUGCAUGAGGCUAGCUGGUCUAUAUUAAUCUCUGAGUCCCAAUAAAAUAUACUGACCUGUGCUAAGCCACUGUAAAAAAUAAAAAUAUGUCAUACAUAAUAUAUUAACCUAUUUUUCAUGAUCAGCUGCUACUAAAUAUAAUUUUGAAAAUAAUGUUGUAUUUUGUUAUCGCAUACUAACCCAUUGAAAGAUAAAUCAAGUCACAAACUACUAGAAAUGGAUUGGGAAAGAACAUAAACAAAUAUCCAGACAGAAUCAAUAGCUGCAUCAACAGGCUGUAUGUCCUAUGAGAGCUUCAUUCAUGUUUUCCUCACUCCUAGAACAGGAAAACAUAAUGUCUUGACCAAUUGAAAAAUUUUUAUUAAUCUUUCCACUUAUUUGUUUAAUCUCUCCUGUUAUUAACACUUUUUAAAAUAUUUGAUUAAGAUGAGGCCAGGCAAGGCCACGCACUGCAGACUGCUGGAAAACAGUGUUCCACAGGAUGGAAAUAUUAUUACCUAAAAGGAAAUGAUAUUCCAGUAGUAACUGGUAAAACAUUAUUUUUCGCAUCAUUAGAUCA